GAGCAUCCUUAUAAACUUCCCAAGACAGCCACAGUGAAAAAGGAGUGAUCCUGAGAAAUCCUGGACAGUCCAGCUGCUGUUUCACUUGCACAUCCCAACCCAGCAGCUCUCAAUCGAAGGGAUUGGCUGAGAUGAAAACCCCCAUCGCUUUCCUCCUGCUGCUGCUGCGGUUGGUGCUCCCAGCCCCUCUGAAGAUGGCAGAAG